CAGAGGUGCGAGCGUUAAUCGGAUUACUGGCGUAAGCGUGCGUAGGUGGCUUUAAGUCAAUGUGAAUCCCCGAGCUUAACUUGGGAAUUGCAUUCGAUACUGGAAAGCUAGAGUAUGGGAGAGGAUGGUAGAAUUCCAGGUGUAGCGGUGAAAUGCGUAGAGAUCUGGAGGAAUACCGAUGGCGAAGGCAGCCAUCUGGCCUAAUACUGACACUGAGGUACGAAGACAUGGGAGCAAACAGGAUU
rnacentral:rRNA from 1 species